AUUGAACGCUGGCGGCAUGCUUUACACAUGCAAGUCGAACGGCAGCGCGGGCUUCGGCCUGGCGGCGAGUGGCGAACGGGUGAGUAAUGCAUCGGAACGUGCCCAGUAGUGGGGGAUAGCCCGGCGAAAGCCGGAUUAAUACCGCAUACGACCUGAGGGUGAAAGCGGGGGACCGAAAGGCCUCGCGCUAUUGGAGCGGCCGAUGUCGGAUUAGCUAGUUGGUGGGGUAAAGGCUUACCAAGGCGACGAUCCGUAGCUGGUCUGAGAGGACGACCAGCCACACGGGGACUGAGACACGGCCCAGACUCCUACGGGAGGCAGCAGUGGGGAAUUGUGGACAAUGGGGGCAACCCUGAUCCAGCCAUGCCGCGUGCGGGAAGAAGGCCUUCGGGUUGUAAACCGCUUUUGUUCGGGAAGAAAUCCUCUGGGCUAAUACCCCGGGGGGAUGACGGUACCGGAAGAAUAAGCACCGGCUAACUACGUG
rnacentral:rRNA from 1 species